rnacentral:rRNA from 1 species
AUGGCAGGGAUGAACCUGCAUAGAAUCACCUCUGCCCUUAUUCGAUUCAUUGGACGGGAGAUCCGUCGAUCUACCAGACGCCACAGUGCUGGUGCUCCUCGCCAUUGGGGCCCAGGCAACGGUCGUCGUGGUCGCCGUGGUCGUCAGGAGCACCCUGGCCCCGCCGCCGCAGAACAGGCAGGACCAAGCAACUCAUCUGCCGCCGUCCACCACGCCUACCAGGCACCCCCGAUGCCGGCCUUCGUCGCUCCGCCAAUGGACUGGGCUCCCGCCGAGGCUGCAGCCCCGUUCCUGGGCGAGGAGUUCUUCGACGCCGCCCAGGCCCCGCCACCGCCGGGGGUCUUAUUCGGCAAUGGCAUGGAUGCAGGCGUGGCCUUUUGUCCGGUGCACGGAUACGGCCCUUGCCCUGCCCGCGAUUUCUGCCCCGUGCACGGGUACGGGCCAUGCCCUUCACCGCCGGCCACUCCACCACCGGAACCGGAGGUCAUCGAUGAGCCGCUCGCCUACCCGGACCUCCCAACGCCAACGCCCGCCGACGAAGACGAGGAGCACUUCGCCCCUCCAGGCUAUGGCCCUGUGCCCACCAUGAUGGAGUGGGAGGUGACACCGAACGAAGAGGAGGAGCAGUGGCUCAACUCCGUUGUGAAGCCGGAGUCAACCACGCCGGCGGAGACCGACGAACCCGGAGCCACCAUCCCCGACCUCAACACUGCCACCGGCAGGAAGAUCGAGGAAGCGGCGUCGUCUUCCAAGGCCCCAACAUCUCCGCCGCCUCCGCCCCCGGCAAGCCCGCGAACGCCCCCACCGGCGGCUCGCCGGAUCCUUCGCCGUUUCGCGGCAGCGCUGGAGCAGCACCGCCCCGGCCUCCGCUCCGACUUCUGGGCCCCUGCAGGCCUCCACCUCCCCGGCUACGCUGCGGGGGGGGGGGGGCCUCCUCCUGAAGAUCGCCGGCGCUGGGCGCCAUUGGCGGCGGCCGACGGGAUCCCGUGGAGGUGGCGGUGGAAUGGGGGGAAUUGA